rnacentral:rRNA from 1 species
GUACGCUAUUCAGAGUUGAUCCUGGCUCAGGACGAACGCUGGCGGCGUGCCUAAUACAUGCAAGUCGAGCGAGUCUGCCUUGAAGAUCGGAGUGCUUGCACUCUGUGAAACAAGAUACAGGCUAGCGGCGGACGGGUGAGUAACACGUGGGUAACCUGCCCAAGAGAUCGGGAUAACACCUGGAAACAGAUGCUAAUACCGGAUAACAACAGAUGAUGCCUAUCAACUGUUUAAAAGAUGGUUCUGCUAUCACUCUUGGAUGGACCUGCGGUGCAUUAGCUAGUUGGUAGGGUAACGGCCUACCAAGGCGAUGAUGCAUAGCCGAGUUGAGAGACUGAUCGGCCACAUUGGGACUGAGACACGGCCCAA